AGAGAGAGAGAGAGAGAGAGGGAGGGAGAGAGAGAGAGAGAGGGGUUGUGAAGGGGAGGGAUCCUGUGUGGUUGAGAGACAGUCAGAGCGAGAGCAAAGAGGGAAUGAAUGUCGUUCCAUGAGAAAGUGGACCGGUAUGAAUAGUUCUGAGGUCGGAGUUGAAAGAUUACAGAAACAGAAGCAUUUCCCUCUGAUGCUUCAUGCCCACAUUUAACAACAGAGCAGCCUCUAGUGGAAAAGAGCAGGAAAACACCACCCACCGACACCAGAACGAGGAGCGGGUGGAUGAGGGAGGCCUCAUCUGAGGUAAGCUGCCCUAAAAUGUACGGAAUUCAUUUAUAACAUUUAUACGAAUGAUAUUGUAAUUUCAGUCUCAUAAUGACAUAAAAUACUUCAUAAUUUUUAGGAAAUACCUUGACAAACGAUCUUGUGAUUACGGGAUCCGGAUUUAUGAGAUUCUGAUCUCAUUAUUGUUACAAAACGUAUUGUUUUAAAUGAAUAGUUUUGUUCUUUCCCGACCGGAAGACAACAAGCUGCGACCUGAUCCUGAUCCUCCAAGUCCGACAUUGGUUUCUACAUUCCUUCUUUUGCCACACCGUUGUGCCGCUCAUGCGCUGGCGUGAAAGACGCUGAGCGAGGUGCAGGCCGGUUGUCUUCAACAAAGGGAAAGCAGCAGCGCGGCUCGGUCACCCGUGUCUCCCUCUGAACGCAGGGCGAGCAGCGGCGACGCGUUGCUCUUUGAAUAAACCAAAGCAGAUUGUCCUUGCAAAUAUUUGUGCCAAUGGACAAAUGGUUGAGUGCUUAAACAAUUUGGUCUCACUCAAGAUCUCACUCAAUACUGGCAUUAUAGAUAUGUACCGUGUAUCGGAUACAACAUUUGAUAGUCUAAUAAGAUAAACAUUUAAGAUAAGUAAUGCCUUUUCCUAUUCUGCUACUGUCAAUCAUGAUGGUCUCUAGCAAACAAGAGCCUUAAACCCAUUGAGUCACUUCAUAAACACACAGUAUCAUCAAUGUCAUAUACUUCUUGUUGUACAUUUUUCAUCUGUAUUUGUAUUCAGGUGUCCACUAAAUGCAUUAAAUCCCUCCAACUGCAAUGGAAAAAGAGGCUUAGUCAUCUUAAGACACAGUGACAUUGUGGGACACGCUGCACCCCCUCCGGAGCUGUACAACAUAAAAGCUCAGACACGUCGAAUGUCCGCAAGCACUGAGCCUUGCAAUCCCCUCCACGGUACCCUCGGCCUUCAAUGUUUACAUUUUGAACAGACACACUCACAUUACUGAAACUGUUUCUGAGAGUUACAGUAAACUCUGGAAAAGUAAUGUGUGUGUGAAUCUCUAAUUCGAGACCAUCAAACGUGAAAAAGGGAAGGUGGACCCUUCUGUCUACAUGUUUCUGAAGGUGAAUUAGAAUUUUUGUGGAUGUUCUUGGAAUGUUUAAUGUGCGUUUGUUGCCAUUAUUGAUUGUUACGUGCCUACAUGUGACCAUGUAUGAAUUCACGAGAAGAGACGGAAGAGACAUAUGCAUAAAAAACGGUUUUACGAUAAUACACAAUGUUGCACAGCUGGCACUAAGUGUGAUAUAUAUUUAACUCACCCACGAGGAAAUACAUCGUGCCCUUGAAACAUCAAACAAACACUCGCCUCAUAUUAAUCUACUCAGUCAAGCCCUGUGUGUUCUUUCUCUCUAAGGUCAAGUAUGGUUUAAUUGAUCAUUCGAAUUUUCCUUUCAAAUUGUUAUCCAGGUAAAUGUUUAAUUUGCAUUCCGACCAAGGGCCAAACAUGACCCAACAAUGUCUCAGAAAUCUAAAACUAGAGCAGAGCUGUACUCUUUACCAUCAACAGCAACGGCCAACACGGCAGAUCUCAAUUGAAGUCCAGAUUAAUGUUUUAGCCGAGCAGGAAAUAUCCCGUUACAAGCUGCAGGACAAUUGAGCUGCCUUGUAAAAGCUGCUGUCUCUGACGGAAGCUCUGGGAAAACUCAUUCACCUGUAGGAAAUGAAGCACUAAAACGGAGCUUCUAAAAUCCAACUCUUUCCGCUGACCUUUGCUUGUCAACUAAAUCCA